rnacentral:rRNA from 1 species
GAUGAACGCUGGCGGCGUGCUUAACACAUGCAAGUCGAACGGAAAGGCCCAAGCUUGCUUGGGUACUCGAGUGGCGAACGGGUGAGUAACACGUGGGUGAUCUGCCCUGCACUUCGGGAUAAGCCUGGGAAACUGGGUCUAAUACCGGAUAGGACCACUUCUUGGAUGUUGUGGUGGAAAGUUUUUUCGGUGUGGGAUGAGCUCGCGGCCUAUCAGCUUGUUGGUGGGGUAAUGGCCUACCAAGGCGUCGACGGGUAGCCGGCCUGAGAGGGUGUACGGCCACAUUGGGACUGAGCUACGGCCCAGACUCCUACGGGAGGCAGCAGUGGGGAAUAUUGCACAAUGGGCGCCAGCCUGAUGCAGCGACGCCGCGUGGGGGAUGACGGCCUUCGGGUUGUAAACUCCUUUCGCUAGGGACGAAGCGUUUUGUGACGGUACCUGGAGAAGAAGCACCGGCUAACUACGUG